rnacentral:rRNA from 1 species
CGUGUAGGCGGGUGCGUAAGUCCGAUGUGAAAGCCCUCGGCUCAACCGGGGAAUGCCAUUGGAUACUGCGUACCUGGAGUGCGGGAGGGGAGAGUGGAACUCUUGGUGGAGCGGUGAAAUGCGUAGAUAUCAAGAGGAACGCCGGUGGCGAAAGCGACUCUCUGGCCCGUGACUGACGCUGAGGCGCGAAAGCCAGGGUAGCGAACG